GCCUGGCUGGCUCAGUUGGUAGAGCAAGUGACUCUGGAUCUCGGGGUUGUAGGUUCGAAACCCACAUUGGGUA